CCUACGGGGAGCUGCAGUCGAGAAUCAUUCACAAUGGGGGAAACCCUGAUGGUGCGACGCCGCGUGGGGGAAUGAAGGUCUUCGGAUUGUAAACCCCUGUCAUGUGGGAGCAAAUUAAAAAGAUAGUACCACAAGAGGAAGAGACGGCUAACUCUGUGCAAGCAGCCGCGGUAAUACAGAGGUCUCAAGCGUUGUUCGGAAUCACUGGGCGGAAAGCGUGCGUAGGCUGUUUCGUAAGUAGUGUGUGAAAGGCGCGGGCUCAACCCGCGGACGGCACAUGAUACUGAGAGACUAGAGUAAUGGAGGGGGAACCGGAAUUCUCGGUGUAGCAGUGAAAUGCGUAGAUAUCGAGAGGAACACUCGUGGCGAAGGCGGGUUCCUGGACAUUAACUGACGCUGAGGCACGAAGGCCAGGGGAGCGAAAGGGAUUAGAUACCCGAGUAGUC
rnacentral:rRNA from 1 species